GCGCCGCAGAUCGUGCCCGCCGGACACCCCGCAGUACUCAACGCCAAAAACAAAAUACUAUUCUUUAUCUGCUUGACGCGCGGCGACACGCAGCUGGUGCUGCCGCUGGUGUACGACUCGCAGAACAACAGCACGCAGCUCGCCGACAAGCGCGACGCACAGCCACACCUCCUCGCCGUCAACCUGCACCUCAAGCGGUUCAGCGAGUUCACUCAGGCGCACUCAGAGUGCACGCUGUGGCCGGCGGUGCGCGACCUGCUGACCAACUUCACGCUGCCGCAGGAGGCGCCGCCCGCCGCCGCGCAGCCGCCGCCCUAGCUGCACCGCACUACACAUCACAAUUAUUUAAACCAUUAGUUUUAUAUCCGCAAUAUGCGCGCUGUUGGAACUGUGAAGAUGUACGUUGCUGAAACUGUUGCCGUAAUGUGCCUGCAAUGUGUUUCAAACAACACUAAGGUCUGUCGAGUUAUGAACACAAUAAACUUCUAAACAUGUGUAGGUGUGACCUUCCUUACUGCUGAUUUUAUGCAAUUAGACACAAAUCACGUGAAUGUGUAAUAAAUUAUUACGUAUAAUCUAUGUUCUAUAUUAUCUAUAUAAAAACAAGAAAAAUGUAAAUACCGUGUAAAUGUUUUUGUAAUAUGACAAAAUGAAACGUCUGAUAUUUGUAAAAUGCCUAUUUUUAGAUGUAAAGAAUAUUCUGCCGCGGUCUGAGUUGUUAAUGGUUAUUUAGACCCUUAGUGUAGACUUCUCAUAAUAAACCGGCGCUAAGGCUCUUCCUCAGUAGCCAUUAAACUGCUUUGAAUAUGGCAGUAUGUUGAAUAAAUUCAAUUUAAAUAUAAGUUAAAAGUCUCGUUUUGUAGUGAAAUGUCAAACAAACAUUUUAUUUAUUUCUUUUUACGUUUUUAAGUAUCUUAUAAACAAAUAAAUAAGUUUUAAUUUACUGUAUUGAAAUAGGUUAUUCUAAGUUAAACUAAGUUUGAUAUGUGGGUGCGGUAUCGGUCUACAAUAAUUAACUAAGAAUACUUGGAGUUGUUUUAAUGUAGUUUUUGCAAACAACGAUUGCAGAUUUGCAUGUGGUAAAUAUGUAUCUCAAGACAAAUUCAUCUGUUUAUAUCGAUAUAUAAUACACAUAAUAAAAUUGGGGCGUUUAUAUGUAAUAGCAAAAUAAAAAUUCCAGAUUUCGCAAAGAUGAUGUAUUGCGU